CCAAUAGCGUAUAUUAAAGUUGUUGCAGUUAAAAAGCUCGUAGUUGAAUUUCAGGCCUGGCUGGACGGUCCGCCCUUCGGGUGAGUACUGUCUGUGGUCGGGUCCUACCUUCUGGCGAAGCGUCAUGGCCUUAACCGGCCGUGGCGGGGAACCAGGACUUUUACUGUGAAAAAAUUAGAGUGUUCAAAGCAGGCAAAUCGCUUGGAUACAUUAGCAUGGAAUAAUGGAAUAGGACAAUGGUUCUAUUUGUUGGUUUCUAGGACCGUUGUAAUGAUUAAUAGGGAUAGUUGGGGGCAUUAGUAUUCAAUUGUCAGAGGUGAAAUUCUUGGAUUUAUUGAAGACUAACUACUGCGAAAGCAUUUGCCAAGGAUGUUUUCAUUAAUCAAGAACGAAAGUUAGGGGAUCGAAGACGAUCAGAUACCGUCGUAGUCUUAACCAUAAACUAUGCCGACUAGGAAUCGGGCGAUGUUGACAAAAUGACGCGCUCGGCACCUCAUG
rnacentral:rRNA from 2 species